rnacentral:rRNA from 1 species
UACCUCUAGAGAUAGAGGGUUCCCCUUCGGGGGACGGAGCGACAGGUGGUGCAUGGUUGUCGUCAGCUCGUGUCGAGAGAUGUUGGUUUAAGUCCCGCAACGAGCGCAACCCUUGACCUUAGUUGCCAGCAUUCAGUUGGUCACUCUAAGGAGACU